rnacentral:rRNA from 1 species
GACGAACGCUGGCGGCGUGCUUAACACAUGCAAGUCGAGCGGUAAGGCUCCUUCGGGAGUACACGAGCGGCGAACGGGUGAGUAACACGUGAGUAAUCUGCCCUUCACUUCGGGAUAACCACCGGAAACGGUGGCUAAUACCGAAUACGACCAGUCUUCGCAUGAGGUGCUGGUGGAAAGUCUUUUCGGUGAAGGAUGUGCUCGCGGCCUAUCAGCUUGUUGGUGGGGUAAUGGCCUACCAAGGCUUCGACGGGUAGCUGGCCUGAGAGGGUGACCGGCCACACUGGGACUGAGACACGGCCCAGACUCCUACGGGAGGCAGCAGUGGGGAAUAUUGGACAAUGGGCGAAAGCCUGAUCCAGCAACGCCGCGUGAGGGAUGACGGCCUUCGGGUUGUAAACCUCUUUCAGUACCGACGAAGCGCCCUGUCGGGUGGUGACGGUAGGUACAGAAGAAGGACCGGCCAACUACGUG